rnacentral:rRNA from 1 species
UACGUAGGGUGCAAGCGUUACUCGGAAUUACUGGGCGUAAAGCGUGCGCAGGCGGUUUUGUAAGACCGAUGUGAAAUCCCCGGGCUUAACCUGGGAACUGCAUUGGUGACUGCAAGGCUUGAGUGUGUCAGAGGGAGGUGGAAUUCCGCGUGUAGCAGUGAAAUGCGUAGAUAUGCGGAGGAACACCGAUGGCGAAGGCAGCCUCCUGGGAUAACACUGACGCUCAUGCACGAAAGCGUGGGGAGCAAACAGG